rnacentral:rRNA from 1 species
CAGCCGCCGCGGUAAUACGUAGGUGGCAAGCGUUGUCCGGAAUUAUUGGGCGUAAAGGGCUCGCAGGCGGUUUCUUAAGUCUGAUGUGAAAGCCCCCGGCUCAACCGGGGAGGGUCAUUGGAAACUGGGAAACUUGAGUGCAGAAGAGGAGAGUGGAAUUCCACGUGUAGCGGUGAAAUGCGUAGAGAUGUGGAGGAACACCAGUGGCGAAGGCGACUCUCUGGUCUGUAACUGACGCUGAGGAGCGAAAGCUAGGGGAGCAAAUGGGAUUAGAUACCCGCGUAGUCCCUGUCUCUUAUAC